AACGAACGCUGGCGGCAGGCUCAACACAUGCAAGUCGAGCGCCCCGCAAGGGGGAGCGGCAGACGGGUGAGUAACGCGUGGGAAUCUACCGAGCCCUGCGGAAUAGCUCCGGGAAACUGGAAUUAAUACCGCAUACGCCCUACGGGGAAAGAUUUAUCGGGUUUGAUGAGCCCGCGUUGGAUUAGUUAGUUGGUGGGGUA
rnacentral:rRNA from 1 species